UGGAAAAAAUAUUUUUCCACAGAAUGGUCUGAAGACCAAGUGAGAGCUGAAAUAACAGCUAUCUUCAGUGGAGCAUUUGGCUUAUCAGAGCACCAGUCACUUCCAUUUCAGUUUUUGAGCACCAUCAAGGGGUGUAAAAAACUGAUGAUACCGAAGGUCACCUCCAAUUUCCCCUGGGGUGGUAAAGAAGUUGCCUCCGUCUGUUCCAGCACAUGCCUGUAUAUUAUGGCAGAAAUGGAAGUUCCUGCACAGAACUGUAGUGUGGAGCUGUCUGAUGACAGUGAUUUUGAAAGCCCGGUUGUACAACGAAGGAGAGUGACUCGGAGAGAUGCACCGUCCAGAGCCCAGAGCGAACACUGUGAGAGGCAAGAGAGGGUGGAAGCCAGUGCUCCUCCAUCUAAUGAUGGGAUGGACCUACAGGGACAGCGAGGGCCAAAUGAAGCUAUGAAUCACUUUGCAGUGACUCAGAGACAUGCACCGUCCAGAGCCCAGAGCGAACACUGUGAGAGGCAAGAGAGGGUGGAAGCCAGUGCUCCUCCAUCCGAUGAUGGGAUGGACCUACAGGGACAGCGAGGGCCAAAUGAAGCUAUGAAUCACUUUGCAGAUUUCAUGUACAGUUAUAUGUAUUAACUUAAGGUUUUCUCAUGUAAUAUUUGUUACAUUUAUGUUGGUCCAUUUUGUUAGGGAAUGAAUCUUUUAUCCUUGUGUCUUAAUUAACAGUCCUAUUGAUAUUGAAGAAGAUGAAGCCAUUGAGGAGGCCAUCAGACGCAGUCUUUUAGAAGAGUCUGUGCAGCCCUCACAGGAUUCAAGGUUUGCAGAAAGUUUGAGCAUAGAAGAAAUUACAGGAAUUGUGAAAGCUCACAGUGAGAGGGUUGUCACAGAAGCAUACAGACCAAUCUACAUCAGCCGAGGGAACGUGUGGACAACUGCCCUCCGACAGUUUAGUAGACGGAAAUUCACUGAGUGCACCGAUCUGCUGUAUGUCACCUUUGCCAGUGACGAAGGCACCAACGAAGAUGGAGAAGACCUCGGAGGGCCACGGCGAGAAUUCCUCCGUCUGCUUGUUAAAGCCAUCUUCAAAGAGAGUGGAGCAUUUGAAGAGUCUCUAAAUGGCUUCACUCCAAGAAUGAACAUUUCUCAUGUGCAGAAUGGAGUGUACCGCACUAUUGGACAGAUGAUGUCUACCAUCAUCGUCCAGGGUGGUGAACCUCCAGCCCUCCUUUCUCCUCUGGUAGUGGACUACCUUCUGACAGGAC
ensembl:lncRNA